AGUACAAUAAAUUCAAAACUGAGAAAAUUUGCUUUAAAAUCAGUAGGUAGAAUUUUAUUGUAAUGUUAAAGGUAAAUAUCCUAUACUUACGUGGAGAUCCGUCCUCUAUCACUAAUCUGACGUGAGGUAAAUAUCCUAUACUUACGUGGAGAUCCGUCCUCUAUCACUAAUCUGACGUGAGGUAAAUAUCCUAUACUUACGUGGAGAUCCGUCCUCUAUCACUAAUCUGACGUGAGGUAAAUAUCCU